rnacentral:rRNA from 1 species
GUCCUAAGAUGAGCUCAACGAGAACAGAAAUCUCGUAUGGAACAGAAGGGUAAAAGCUCGUUUGAUUUUGAUUUCCAGUACGAAUACGAACCGUAAAAGCGUGGCCUAACGAUCAUUUAGACCUUCGAAAUUUGAAGCUAAAGGUGUCAGAAAAGUUACCACAGGGAUAACUGGCUUGUGGCAACCAAGCGUUCAUAGCGACGUUGCUUUUUGAUCCUUCGAUGUCGGCUCUUCCUAUCAUUGUGAAGCAGAAUUCACCAAGUGUUGGAUUGUUCACCCACCAAUAGGGAACGUGAGCUGGGUUUAGAUCAUCAUGAGACAGGUUAGCUUUACCCUACUGAUGACAGUGUCACAAUACUAAUUCAACGUAGUACGAGUGGAACCGUUGAUUUGCACAAUUGGUCAUCGUGCAUGGUUGAAAAGCUAGUGGCGUGAAGCUACCGUGCGAUGGAUAAUGACUGAACGCCUUUAAGUUAGAAUUCGGGCUAGAAGCGACGACUGUGCCCGCCGUCCACUUGUUGACCCGCAAUAGGGGUCGUCUAUCCCCUAAAGACACGUGUCGUUGGUAAAGCCCGCACAGCAGAUGAGUCAUGAAGCCCCCUUAAAGUACAAUUCCUAUCUCGAGCAGUGGGUAGAAUCCUUUGCAGAUAACUUUAAUACGUGAUGGGGUAUUGUAAGUGGUAGAGUGGCCUUGCUGCCACGAUCCACUGAGAU